ensembl:lncRNA
CCAGGGAACUAUGUACAGCUGCUGUGAGAACCGUCUUCCCAGGCUGCUGAGGCAAUGUUGGCUCAGCUCCUCUGACAUUAAAUGAAGUGACACACCAGUGUAGGGCUCUGUUUCAAAUCUGUGCUCAGCAAAACAGACAUCCGUUUAAGGAUGGAACCAAAACGCAUAACCCAGGCUGGGAUUCAAAUUUUUCCUAGAGUAAAGCAGCUAAAUACAGGAAUUAGAACCUUCUACAAUAUAUGUUGCUACAUAAAAUACUUAUUCAUGAUCAAGAUCAGAGAAUCUGCUGAAAACAUCUACAGAAGGUUGAUGCACCAUAUAUUUGCAGAUGGGAAUGGAAAAAAAUAAGAGAUGCUGUAUUAAAUUGGUAAACAAGGAAGCAGAGAGUAUGUUGUACAACCAAGAGAAGCCUCCAGUUGAAGAGAUUAUUUCUUAGUAUGUCACUGUAUGUUAAUUAUAUCUGUUAGAGAGAAAUCACUAUACUAGCAUGAUCUUAAGAUUGAACUGCAAAUUGACAUUUCCAAAUGUGACAAUAAUAUACAUCAUCUGUUAUGUUAAUGAG